UUUUUGGUUUUUUGGUAUGAAGGAGGACCCUUGACAUAGUGUGCCUGGCAGUGAUAUAUGUUGCAAAUUAUUUGUGUUCCCAGUCUUUCCAUAUUGUUCACGUUGUACUUAAAAUUCCUUCUUGUUGCUGGAGUUUGGCUUAAAACAACUACAUUCCAAUGAAAUACCACAGUGGUGGAACUAAAUAUGAUUGAAGGAUUAUGUAUUCCUUACCCAUUUCAAAGCUUGCUCUAGUCUAGUGGAAUGUGGGAGGAGCCCCAGUGUGUAGUAAGCUGAU